GCUGUCACUUCUUCUGGGUCUGGCGCCCUCUCGUGCUUGGAGCCCGCACUCCAAGCAGGGCGCCCUCUGGUGGAGGUGGGCCAGCAGUACCUCCUCUUCAGCGGCCCACACAACAAAUAGAUGUUCCAAAUGUCCUGCGAUUUCAGAACAAGGUAAUUCAAGAACACUUCAUUCUUUAGAGGAACAUGUUCUGCUUUUGAUACAUGAGGUGAGUAAAUCAUUCAACCGAGCAAAAUAGGUGCACAAAUGGAGGCUGCACUCUGUGGAGGCUGUAAGUCAGAUGCAACCUAUUGUAAAUUCAAACUUUUUUCCACACAAAUGUCUUGUCACAGCAUUAAUAAUUUAUAUGGUCACCACAAACAUGUUUCCAUGAGUAAUCCAACCUGCCAGUUUCCAACAGCCAUACAGUAGAAGAUGAUGUAAUUUGAAUUAUUUGCCUUUUUAUUCAAAUUGGGGGGGGGGGGGGGGGGGGGGUGUAAUUGCAUUGGGUUUGUUGUACUCUACUUCUGAUUGGAUUUGCCCCCACCUUCUCUUUUGUGUGUGUGUGUGCAAUUGAUUUGGCUGAGGAUUGUUCUUCUUAUUGUGUUGUUGGUUUCUUUGAUGACCCCUUUCGUAAUGUUUUACCAGCCACUGCUCCUGACAGCCUGAUGUACUCCCACUCCAUUGUUGGUUGCAGUGAUAGGUCCCAGUUUCUGAUUUCCUGAUGUAUGGCUCUCAUGUCCUUAAAUGACCAGAAAACAUACAGAAUGAACCACCCCAUUAUGAAUGCCUGCUCAUCUGUGAUUGUCCUGACCCCUACCCUGAAAACAAGAACGGAGCCCAAACCAAGACAGAAAACAAGUUUCUCCAUCUUAAGGCCGUUGUUGAUUAACCUCCAGCUUCCCUCAUGUCAGACGGUUCAAAGGGUAAAUCCAGUGGACAAUAUAUAUGGAAAUGUAGAUUAUUCACAGUAACAGGAACGCUACUGUACAUCGUAUGCACCAUUGGAGCUUAAAGUGGCAGAGGGGCGAAAGUUAUGAAAUAAUAUUGUCUGUCUGCAAGAAGGAAUGAUAUCUCCAAAAAAUGGUGGAUGGAUUUUCAUGAUGUGCCUGAGUAGAGAACAGUUGAGUAAAUGUUGCUGGUGAUCCAAGUCUGCCUCAAAUUUAUACAUUUUACAGUGCGUCCAGGAAUUAUUCACCGUUUUUUCAAAAGAGGCCCCAUGCUCUAGUCGGGUGUGGUUGGAGCUCCCCAUUCAUUAAACACAGCUGUGAUGUUUACGGGAGCCUCGGCUAUGUAGUGCAUCCUUAAAAUGAGUCUCGCCGUUGUCCUGGCUGUUGCACUGAGGUAAAGACAAAAACUUUAUGGUCGCGUCAUAAAGCAACUCUUUAAACUCAGCGUCUAGGGGAGGAGUUAGGACUUCCUUUCGAAAACAUGGACUUAAUGCAAAACACGCACACACACACACACACACACACACACACACUAGGAUUUCCUUUCGACGGCCUUCACACUUGUUUUUUUGGGAGGGGUGGAGGCGUUUGAGGUUUAAUCAAUUGCAACAGACAUAGAGUCUGCUGUUUUUUGGGGGGCGGGGGGCACAAAACACACACACACCGUUGGAGUCUCACUUGGGUCUACAGGAGAGGUUCAGAGGUGAGGGCGGUAUAUAAAGUAAUCUUAAAUGCAGUCCUUUUUUAAUGAUUAUAUUAAAUUUUUAUAAUAAAUAUAGAUUUUCAUCAAUAAUAACAUUACUGCAUCAGAGGAAAAAAAAUAAAGACUCCUUCACUCAAAUGAUGACCAUGAUGAUGCAAUAGUGAUGGAGUAAGUAAAUAUAACCCAAACAGCUGGGCUCUGUAAAUAUUCUGUUAUCUGCUGCACUAUCAUAUGAGGGGCGAUUGAGAAGUUUGGAUCCUGACAGGGAAACUGGUAUAAAUGCUAUAUGUUAUAAAAAACAAUUCCUUGCAGUCUGAAAA